rnacentral:rRNA from 1 species
GACGAACGCUGGCGGCGUGCUUAACACAUGCAAGUCGAACGGAAAGGCCCUGCUUUUGUGGGGUGCUCGAGUGGCGAACGGGUGAGUAACACGUGAGUAACCUGCCCUUGACUUUGGGAUAACUUCAGGAAACUGGGGCUAAUACCGGAUAGGAGCUCCUGCUGCAUGGUGGGGGUUGGAAAGUUUCGGCGGUUGGGGAUGGACUCGCGGCUUAUCAGCUUGUUGGUGGGGUAGUGGCUUACCAAGGCUUUGACGGGUAGCCGGCCUGAGAGGGUGACCGGCCACAUUGGGACUGAGAUACGGCCCAGACUCCUACGGGAGGCAGCAGUGGGGAAUAUUGCACAAUGGGCGGAAGCCUGAUGCAGCAACGCCGCGUGCGGGAUGACGGCCUUCGGGUUGUAAACCGCUUUCGCCUGUGACGAAGCGUGAGUGACGGUAAUGGGUAAAGAAGCACCGGCUAACUACGUGCCAGCAGCCGCGGUGAUACGUAGGGUGCGAGCGUUGUCCGGAUUUAUUGGGCGUAAAGGGCUCGUAGGUGGUUGAUCGCGUCGGAAGUGUAAUCUUGGGGCUUAACCCUGAGCGUGCUUUCGAUACGGGUUGACUUGAGGAAGGUAGGGGAGAAUGGAAUUCCUGGUGGAGCGGUGGAAUGCGCAGAUAUCAGGAGGAACACCAGUGGCGAAGGCGGUUCUCUGGGCCUUUCCUGACGCUGAGGAGCGAAAGCGUGGGGAGCGAACAGGCUUAGAUACCCUGGUAGUCCACGCUGUAAACGGUGGGUACUAGGUGUGGGGUCCAUUCCACGGGUUCCGUGCCGUAGCUAACGCUUUAAGUACCCCGCCUGGGGAGUACGGCCGCAAGGCUAAAACUCAAAGGAAUUGACGGGGCCCCGCACAAGCGGCGGAGCAUGCGGAUUAAUUCGAUGCAACGCGUAGAACCUUACCUGGGUUUGACAUAGAUCGGGAGUGCUCAGAGAUGGGUGUGCCUCUUUUGGGGUCGGUUCACAGGUGGUGCAUGGCUGUCGUCAGCUCGUGUCGUGAGAUGUUGGGUUAAGUCCCGCAACGAGCGCAACCCUUGUUCACUGUUGCCAGCACGUUAUGGUGGGGACUCAGUGGAGACCGCCGGGGUCAACUCGGAGGAAGGUGGGGAUGACGUCAAGUCAUCAUGCCCCUUAUGUCCAGGGCUUCACGCAUGCUACAAUGGCUGGUACAGAGAGUGGCGAGCCUGUGAGGGUGAGCGAAUCUCGGAAAGCCGGUCUCAGUUCGGAUUGGGGUCUGCAACUCGACCUCAUGAAGUCGGAGUCGCUAGUAAUCGCAGAUCAGCAACGCUGCGGUGAAUACGUUCCCGGG